UCCUCUUCUCUUAGCGUGCACAGUUUGCUUACAUGCCGCCUUAGGCACAUCUCUCUUUCUUAGUUUCAUGCUGGACUAAUGAUAAUGAAUGAAAGUCAGUCUUUUAGUAAACGUAUAUAAGCAGCUCUUUAGUGUAUAAGCAAUUCUUUAGUGGUCGCACCGAAAGUACGGUGGAGGUUGGUUGAAGAUGAUGUUACGCGGCGUUCAGAACCAGUCUUGAAGUGAAUGAAUUAUAAAGAAGUAAGGAAAUGAGACGACUCUUUCUUGAACUAUAUCAUAAACAGAUCUUCCCCUCCACACCAAUCACGAGUUUUUCUCUAUUCCUCUCGUAUAUCGUCGUAACGCCCUUAAUGCUAGGUUUUGAAAAAGACUUUUCAUGUCAUUCCCAUUUAGGUCCGAUUCGGAUCCCUCCGUUGUUUCCUUUUCCUUCCGCACCUUUUCCUCGAAAUGAGAAAGAAGAUGGUACACUUGAAUUUUAUUAUUUAAGUGCUUAUUGCUUGCCAAAAAUCCUACUUCUAUAAUUGGUAGGUCACCGGGUUAUUUAAAAAAGUCGUGUUUUUUGUGGUUUUCCCAUGUUACAACUUCCGUACCAAUUCGGUCGAUCCGGAAUGGAUCGGUUAAACAUUCCAUUAGGUAGCCUGGUCUUGACUCUUCUGUGUGGUAUUCAUUCUCGUUCGGCUCUUGGAAUCACAUCCAGCAGUGGUUGGAAUAGCUCGCAAAAUCCAACCACUUCACCUACUUCAUUGCCCCCAACCGUUUCUCGUACCUCUAUUGAAACAGAAUGGUUUCAUGUUCUUUCAUCGAUUGGUUAUUCCUCUCCGUUCGUAUCUCUUUUUCCAAUUUCGGUCUCCGAUUAGUUCCAAGAUUGAAUGGCCAAUUCUCCUCCGAACCCUCGAUUCCAUUGUUUUCCAAGAAUGUUGAGCCGGGUAUGUAAGCCAUGUAUCUGGGAGGAACAACAAUAAAAGAAGGGCUUUCGGUUUUGGUCUUGCCGCUAUUUUCAAAAUAUAUAUAUAAGAAUCCCUUUUUUAAAAGAAAGAUUAUAUAUAUGUCCAAUCUCUAGUGGUGGUGGAACCAAACAAGAUGUAUGUCGUCCGACCCGACCUCAGACUCUUUCUUCCCGACCUAUUUAACUCUCUGGCCAUAGUUAUUUAGGUGGUAUUACGAGAUCGAAUUCCUCUCAGGAACACACGAAACAAAGAUAUGAACUGGGUAAAUAGAAAUGGAAAAGAGAUGUUUCUAUUUCAUCCAAAUUAGUUGCUUUUUCUACAUCCAUAUGAUCUACUAAAGUAGAUCGGUAUUGACCAUAUAAUAAAAGUAGAUCUUGGUCCAUGGAGUCCCAAGAAGGUAAGAACUCCAACCUGCCCGAUGCUUCUUCGGCCAAAUACGAUAUACAAGUGGGACCUGCACUAUGAGCAAGCUGUGCGAAAAACCGCUUCUUUUUUCCGGUUCCGAAACAACUUGGGCGAAAUAGGGUCCAGCCCUCUUCACGAACUUGUACAAUCGAUGCCACAAAGAUAGCCAACUCUAUUAUCAAAGAAAUAAGGAAAGGGGCGACAAUUUGGCACCAGAUAUCCAGAGGUGUGGAAAUAGCAGCUGUGACAAGCAGAAAAACCAUCAAAAAACAACGAGAGUUCGUGGAGGUUUUUACAGAAAGAUCCCUUGGUUCUGGCAAAUGGAUCACAAUUACAGGUACCUGGGAGCAUACCGAUGGAAUGAACGAAAUACGAACAGUUAACAUAAUAUGGUCAUAGAUCUUGGCUUCUAACUUGAUCAUGAGCGAAUUUGUUGAUGUUGCACCCAUGAAGUAUGGAAAGUGCCAAACAUUGGGAACUACCCGGGGAGGAGUUAGGAACAGGAACAAGGAGAAGCGAGAACCACUUAAAUAGAGGAAUCGAUUGUAUUUCGUCCUUUGUUCCUCAUAGCAACUGGGGAUCAAAAAGCACCAAAUUUGAUGACUUAUUAAGGGAAAGACGAAGUAAGAGCAUGCUAUUGGAGACGUUGCAACAUAUGUCGGGAAGGCCUCCGUUGAUUGUGUACGAACAAAAUACGAAUCCAAAGGCAGGGUAAGAAAGGGUUUAGCUAAUGGAAAUAUUAACUCUUCCGGGAACCAGUAACGCGUAAACCAUGUCAAACCAAGACCAAUCAAUAUCCGAACGGAACGGAUUCGAACUUCUCCUAGAAUAGUUUCCGGUGCGAAAUGAAAUUCAUAGGAUAUAUAUGAGUAAUUCAAAGGAAAAAUCGAAAUAUUUGAUAGGAUUGAUUAUGUAUCAGAACUAAAUCACUACGAAUCAGAACUAAAUCACUACGAAUCAGAACUAAAUCACUACGAAUCAGAACUUGAAAGAAUGCAUAAAUAAUGUUAUGGGGCUUCCCCGUCGAGAAUAAAAAGUCUUUCUCUUAGAGAGGCGUUUUCUUCGCUUAGAAAAGCGUUCCUUCUCGACAGGGAUUCCCAUAACUCUUUUAAUUCUCGGCGAUGUUGCAUUUCCAAUUGGGCUUGGUGCUUUUGUUUUAAAAAGCCCUGGAAAUGCUCUGCCUGGGUCCUUUUUACCUCAAAAUAGAAUGGGGAUGUCUCUCUUUCAAAAGACAAACUUUCCAUGACCUGGCAUAGAGCAGGGUGAUUGAAUUCGAGGGGUUCAAGGUGAAAUUUGAGUAUGGAAUCUAGGUCUUGUGGAUCAAUGAAUAAUUGGGGAUCCUCUCAACCAUAAAAAAUGAGUUGAUAGAGAGAGGAAAUCUGGUCGCGAGUUACAAAACACAUCUCCGUGUUUAGGAAGUCUCGGACCAUUACUUCAUAUGUGGCUGAAUGUAUCGGGGUCGUUUUUAGCACUUGAUGUACAUAUUCCACCCAUUCUGUGUCCGACUGUUUCAGAUAGAACUCUAGAAGGUUUAGUUCCGAGGGAAGAAUCCCACAAGGAGAAAGAAGGAUAUGAUUGUUGUUGUGCCAAAGAAGAAAACCCGCGCGCAUUAUUAUAAAGAAAAUCACAAACAAUUUCAAGUAUAAAACGACCCGUUGAAAGGCCGAAUUCUUUACAUAAAGAAAGUUAAGUCGUUCAUCUAUAUUAAAAAACCUAAGAAGAACAAUAAUAACAUUGAAAAGGCAUGACCAGAAGAAUUGUGUGAAAGAAGUGAAUUUAUCUAGUUGAGGCAUGAUUCAUUGAGACAAUCAAAUUCCCUCCAGAAAGCUGAACUCCGUCAAGCCUGUAGGAGUAGUGAAGAAUGUGAGUGAGUUGUGUGGUUUUUUGUUGACCAAGAAAGAAAUGGGAGUGUUUGGGCGUACAUUGCAGAUCCACCGGUGGAGGUCCCGUACUAGAUUGACUUUCUUCUCUGACACUCUGGGGAUCAUCUUAAAGCGUCUUCUUCUUUGGCUAUGUGUUCCUGUAUAAGGGAGGCAUUUUGAUGACGUCAGUGAUCUUUCAGGCACUCCACCUCGACCAACUCAUUUCUUGGUUGAUCGACUGGCAAACGCCCGAGGCACAAAAGAUCAUUGAAAGGUCGAUGAUGUUUAUAGCCAUUCUUUCUUUGCUUUUUCACAACUUGUAAAGGUAGCCAUAGGGGAACCUGUGGCUGGAUUGAAUCCUUAUUUUAUUUCGGCAUCCCCCUCCUUGCGGUUAAGGUAAGGACUUCGGGCAUGGCCAGCUAAGGCUAAAGUUCCAUUAAAGAGCGUUUCCACGUGCGUCACCCAUCUUAUCUAUCUGAUGUCUACUCUAACCUUUUAGAGUGUGGAUUUCAUAGUUUCUAUUGGGAGCAGGCUUUCGAAUAUAUAAAACUCAUUUAUGGUUUUCAAUAAUUAGUUCCAAGUCAGCCAUGUACUACUAUCGGUCAUACAAUUGUUUUUUAAUUGUCUUUCUUUUUUUCAAUGCCCGCGGGCCACCUAAUAUUUUGGAUCGUCCUGCUGAUCCGGCUCCGCAGAUGUAGGUGGGAUUUGCCGAACUACAUCACCAAAGCGACUCCUCAUGAUAGGAGAGAAAGAAAUUAGGGGAAUUUAGAACGGAUUCCACUUUUCUAUAUGCUAAUUCGAAUCUGGCGGGUCGCUCCUUUCUUCGUUUGGGGUGUCUCGUGAGCUCUUUAUGGAAAACUUAUUCAUAUUAUUCUCCUCCCUUUUUUCCUAUCCUAUGGAUCAAAAGCUAUGAUUAACUCAGCUCUGACCUAGACUACAGUGCCCCUAGGGAAUGCACAUUCUCUAUCCUAUCCAAAAAAUAGGGACGCUUAUUAAUAGAAAAUUCAACAACGAAAUCUCAAACUUUUUUACCGCGCACCAAUGUCCGCCUUCUUGUACUGAUGUGGCAAAGUGAAAGUGUAAUUAAGCAAGAUUGACCGCCCUUUCAGUAGUAGUAGUGUCUACUGCCUUUCAGAAUGGCUACUAACAUAUUGCACGAGGUGGCUAACUCGCGGAAUAGCUUUUGGGUUGGCAGAAUCUAAAUAACCCCAAUGGUGAUUCCGAGACUUAUCCUACCUACUCAAGCGGCAAUCAAUACACAUUCAGUGAUUUCGAAUAUCACUUACGACAUUUCGAAAUCAGGGUUUGGGGGUUCAAGCUAUAUAUUCAUUGAUAUUGAGGAAGUAGAGGCAGAUUAAAUCUGUGCCAUCAACUUGACUACAUGGAACUAUCAAUGACGCGUUCAAAGGAAUCCUUUCUAUCCUGUGAGCUCGAACCGGAAGUUCAAGCCCUGCUCUUUCCCAGUCUCCCUUUAUACACUGCCUGCUUUCUUCUCCUGAUCCUCCUUCCGAUGCGGAUCCAACUCUCUGUUUUUAUGAACCAGUUAAACUCUCCAUCUAUGUCUGCAUCCGAGCGAGAAGAGAAGUCGAGUCCAUCUUUGUCUCCACUCAACCCUAGCUCGCUAAGCUGUUGAUUUCCAUGGAUCCUUAGAAACUUUGAGUCAUGAUGGAAAACGUACCCUCGCGAGAGAUUGAGAUAAAAAAAAGGAUGGUUUAGAUGCGGGGAAGAGGGGAACGAGAUGGCUGGCUAAGCUGCUCCACCAGGUCUCAUUUCUGGCCGGGAGAUGGUUUGUAUGGAUGGUUCGGUCAGCUGGUUUCGGAACCACGAGCUUCCUGAGAGAGUUUGAAUUAGAUUCAUUGUUUGAAAACACGGAUUUGGUUCACUGUCGGUCGAUUGACUGGUGGUUUGGUUGUUCUUAAGGCUAAGGGAUGGGGGAUGGGGGCAAAGAGAAGAAGGGCUAAGGCCUAAAAAUUUCACUGAUUGAUUCUUUGAUCCCGUCCACAGGUUCAGUGGUAGGUGGUUCCCCUUGACCUAGCUUUUUCUCUGCAGAGAAAGAAAGGGAUCAAAGGCAAUAAAACCUACGAUGUAUCCUCAAUCUUCCGAGGGGUACGGAGCGGCAUCGGAGUAGCCAAUAAGCUAAUCCUUUCCCAGUGACCCAUCUAAUUGAUUUGAUCCAGUGCAGAAAGAAGCGAGUGAGCGGCAAAUGAUCAAAUAUCGGACCUGGUGAAUAUCUGUCUCUCAAUCCCGGGAUUCCAAUCCAAAUUAUGCAUUGCCCGACCGCACUAGAUUCUUGAUUCGCUGGGAGAGAGUAGAGAGUCAAGGUUCGUUGGAAGUACUUCCUUUCUAUUAGUGUCACCGAAAAGGAUGAAAAGAGAUAAGAUGCUGGUGGUUAGCCUGCCCCGGACUCGUAAUUGAUAGUUUCUGAUGAAUGGAGAUAGCCUUCACUGAACGAUGGGAAUACCAAUUGAGACUAGGAGAGGUGGCCUCAUAUCCCGUCCCUGGUUCCGGCUCUCCGAAAGCAGAGUAUACGGGGGCGGCAGAUGGAUUUGAAGUUGAGGGAAACCUAAAGGACAAAAGAAAGAGAUUUAUUUUUAGAUGCGGAUUACCGCUUCUGAGCUUCGAUGAUCGGGAGGGCUUGAUAGCUUCUAUCCAGUGAAGGGCAUGAGAGGAAGAAAUAAAUGGAGAACUUGGGCCUCUUCGGAUGGGAGUUGAUGGCGGCCUUCAAUGGUUCCCAAAAUGGGCAGUUCCCUUCUCUUGGCAGCCGCAGAUGGGCUUUCACACUCCUUCUCUAUAUAAGAUCCAUAGCUUGAACAAGACAGCUGCACUGGGAUACUCAGAAAGAAGUAAAGCGCAUCCACAACUGCCGAAGAAAGAACAGGAGAAUCUAUACUAUCUUCCGCAACUUCCGAAAGAGCCACAUCAAGAACAAGAGCUGGUACCGCAUGUGCCGCAGGACAGGCAGGAAUGGGAUAUAUAUUUGAAACAACAAUAGCAAGGAGAUUCGCCAACAGGAGAGGGCGGGCCCCCCGCGCUAUUAGUGUCUUCUAUAUAAGAAGAGAGUCGAGUUUGAUGAGUGUCGACUGAGGUUGCGCAGAGCAAGCAAGGCGAGUUGCUUGCAAUGGUUGCUUGCGUGCGAGGCAAGGUAGCGCAAGCAAGGCAACGGUAUAAGCAAGGUAGCUUGCAAGUCCCACCUCGAGCAACAGGUUACCUAAAAACAAAUCAAAUCAGAGUCCUUGGUUCAUUGUUCAAUUGUUGAGAUCGAAUCUGACGGUAGCCGAAGGCUACUACAAUGUUUUGUAAGCUCAGGUUAUCGGCAGAAAAUGUAGUGCAAGCGAAAUUCUCGCCAGACGAUGUCAUGCAGCCCAGAUGAGUAGAGACAAACGUCUAGCAAAUCCGAGUAAGCGACAGGCGAGCAAGCGCAAGGCCAACCGAAGGAAGAAGACCAGUUGAAUGCAAGUUCAAUCACGAGGAGAUGGGCAAGUCAAGCCUGCUGGUAGACAGUAUUCAAACUAGGGGCAGAAGUCAUCAAGUUGCUUUCAGUCGUCCUUCUCCUUAUGUACAAGGCACUAAACUAGUGAUGUUAAGCAUUUGCCCUCGAGUGAAGUUCAACUCAGUUGAUUCUCAGAUAAAUCCCACAUGAAGCGAAAGUCUACGCACCACUACAUGAAAGAUCUGACUGUCUAGUCAGAAAGAGUCUUUCUAGAAGCUUUAAUUUAGGAGCGUUUCAUCAAACUAGAAAGAUAUGAAUCUCAGACAGAUGGUCACGUAAGUAGUGGAUCUCACGUCCUAUCCUCAAGUCUUCUUAGUGAUCGUCUGCUCUCAAUGAAUCAAUGCCCGGUGGCUCUGAAUUCAAUAGAAAUCCCGUGAGUGAAACUCUGAGUUGAAAACGACUAAGCUUAUAUGAAUCUCAGACAGAUGGUUGCGUAAGUAGUGGAUCUCACGUCCUAUCUUCAAGUCUACUUAGUGAUCGUCUGCUCUCAAUGAAUCAAUGCCCGGUGGCUCUGAAUUCAAUAGAAAUCCCGUGAGUGAAACUCUGAGUUGAAAACGACUAAGCUUUUUGCCUUGACCUUGACACUAGUCUGAGCCUUUCCCAGGGCACCUUGCCUUCUUUCCUUGGCUUGGCGGGACACAGAAAUGAUUCUUUGCUAUCUAAAGGGAGUUUCGAUUCCGCAGAACCUAUAGGAGCAAUAGACGGAGUGGAGUAUGGCUGUGAGUCAGGCGCAGUAUCCUCACUGUUCUUGUUACAGAAUCAACUCUGAACGCUGUACAUGGUUAGCUGUAAGAAAGAAUAGCGAUUGUUGAAGAAGUUUGCUCUUUCGACGACUCUUAUUGCUCUAAAUAAGCUCUCAUCCUUUAGGAGUGCAGGCACGACUAGCUUUCUCCAACCUUCUUGUGUGACCGCAUGUUGGAGAAAAGAGAUCCACAUCUUACUCUAACGGCAAUGUCAGGAUCUCAGUCUAUCUCUUUCUCACAUUUGACACUCUCUUCUAUAUACCGCUAAGUCGCAUCCAA
rnacentral:lncRNA from 1 species